rnacentral:rRNA from 1 species
UACGUAGGGUGCGAGCGUUGUCCGGAAUUACUGGGCGUAAAGAGCUCGUAGGUGGUUUGUCGCGUUGUUCGUGAAAUUCCCUGGCUUAACUGGGGGCGUGCGGGCGAUACGGGCAGACUGGAGUACUGCAGGGGAGACUGGAAUUCCUGGUGUAGCGGUGGAAUGCGCAGAUAUCAGGAGGAACACCGGUGGCGAAGGCGGUUCUCUGGGCCUUACCUGACGCUGAGGAGCGAAAGCGUGGGGAGCGAACAGG